CUGAGCCAUCUCUCCAGCCCGAACUCAGUUAUUUUAAAACAAUAAAACUACAUGCUUAGUGAUAAAAAGUUUUUAUUUAGUCAUUUUUAUUUAAUUUUUUUUUUAAAAAAGCUCUUCGUCUUCUGUAGUCACUGAAUACAGAUGCAAUUUAAUGAAAUAAAAACUUAAGGCAAGGCAGCCUUAAGUUUUGUCUCAUUUAAAUGACAUUUGACUCAGUUUUCUGAAACCGGGAUACUAUAUGUGUGACUACAGAUGGAACUCUCAGCAGCUUUGGGUCUCUCUGUUCUCACACUGGCCUUGGCAGAGGGCGGUGUGUCCUGUCAGGUGGUAGGGGAGGGCACGUGGCUCCUCCCUCUGUGAGUUGCCUGCUAGCUCCUAGCUAAGGCCUUGACUGGCUUUUCUUUGUCUCCAGCGCUCCCUUUUGAUACCUGAAGUGAGAAGCUGCUCCUUUGAGUUGUGAUUUUUGCCUAACUGACCAGAUUGUUGAAUGACUGUAGCCAGUUUGUGUGUGUGUGUGUGUGUGUGUGUGUGUGUGUGUGUGUGUGUGAAAACUCAAGAGGCCAUCCAGGAAGGCUAUUCGUCCUUCUCGUUUGUGUAGUUGGGAAACUUCAGCAGUUUCAUGAAAGCUCUCCUUCCUCUUUUUAUAUCAAGCUCUUUCCCGGGAAAAUGGCAGAUACCUAAACUGCUAAUUUCCUGUUUAUAUUUGCAUAUACUAACCUAGGAUCUCAAGAGAAAAUAGGACAGUGGGAUGUAAAGCCUGAUUUGAGGUCAAAUCAGCUAGAAAACACGGCAAAUAAGUUUACCGUCAUCUCCAACUUCAGUAAUGUUGUCUCGGGGGCGUCCAUGUGCAUCGUUAGGUUCUUUUGAACAACAGUACGCCAUCUGAUGAAUUUACAUACACAAAUACUUCCAAUUAACAUUUGUUUAUUAUUUUGCAUUUCACUGCUAUUUACUACCAGAUUUCAAGACAAUAGUCAAUUCUGUAACCUCUGUUUUGUAAAAACCACUAGUAUUUUGGGUCCCUAGCAACCAUUUCGUAUGUAAAUUAGGCAUUCUCAGGCUUAAUGUACUUCAUUUUUAUAAAACAAAUACAUCAUUAAUCUGAUUAAGUUCUUGGAUGGGAGAGCCGUCCUCAGAUCAUUGUGGAUCAUUUAUCGUUGGGCGUGCAUCCAAAAGAAAAAUUCAAGCACAGUACCGGAGUCGAGGUUCAGGAGAAUUGUUGAAAUCCCCUAAAUGACGUUUCCAAAAGAGCAGAAAGGCACUGCUCACUCUGAAUUGCAAGCAUCACCCCAAACUUAAUGAUGCCCUCCCCCUUAGCUCCAACUCAGCCUGAUGAUGGCACAGGGCCCGGAACUAUGAUGCUGCAGGUGUGUCAGGGGAUGAAGGUGGUCCUCGGGGUCCAGGGGAGAUUCCAGCUUUGCUGCCACGACUCAGUCACCAUUCAAGUCGCUUCACUGCCCUGGGGAUGAUUUGGCAUGCCUUUAGCUUUUAGACAGGCUUAUUACUACUUAAGAACUAAAAAAUAUUAUAUCAUAUAUUAAGAUUAAAUGGUUUAUUGAUAUAGCAGAUGGAGCUCUAAAGAAAAACCAGAAUGUAGUGUUCUGAGUUCUGCCUUCCAUAGUCCAGAGUUUUCGGAGGUUGGGUUUUACCAAUGACGCAGGAUCCCAUAAUGCUUUUCUUCACUGCGUGUCUGCCGUGGUGCUCGUCAUUCAGCUGUCCUGUGGGGGCGGCUUGUUUAUUCCCAUGGGACAGUUAACUACACACAGACUCAGAGGGGCUAGCUAGAGCCAUUCUAGGAAUCAACCUGACUUCUUACCCGAAAGCCUCUUUCCCCUUAGACAGGGGAGGGACAGAACGGGACCUGCUAGGCCGGGAUCAGGUUAAAGAGGGACUGGCAGUUUUUUUCUUUUCUUUCUUUCUUUUUUUUUUUUUUCUUCUCCUUACUAUAAAAGGUCCAAGAGUAAAUAUUAAAGGCUCCAAGGACCACAUAAAAUACUUAUUUCCUAGUCUUUUUCUGAUUAACAAUUUAGUUUUGAGAUGUUAGUGUCACCAUGUAGCCCAGGCCAGUACCUUAUGUAGACAAGGCUGGCUGGGACUGAGGUUAUUGUCUUCCCUCUGUCUCAAGUUCUGAGGAACAGGCAUGUGCUACCUACCCGUGCAAUCUGAUUGUCAACAAAUCUUCAAAGCCGCGGGGCGGAGGGUGCGCUGCAGUUGUCCUCCCAUCCAGGACACAGAGAUGGAAUUCCGGAAAGGGGAAUUUGAAGACUCCUCUGCAGACGUCAGGAAAAUGACUGACAGGUGGAAAUGCACAAAUGCUGACUGUGUAUGUGUAGCUCAGCAUGCGAUGUGCAACCCUGAAGAAUGAACGAACGAACGAACGAACGAACAAACGAACGAACGGCCUACUUAAACUACCUUUCCCGCUCUCCCACGGUCAGGCGAUGCAGUUAUGAGGUAAUUGAGUAGGACUCAGAGAGCUAUGCCUCCUUGUUUCCUACCUUUCCCGCUCUCCCACGGUCAGGCGAUGCAGUUAUGAGGUAAUUGAGUAGGACUCAGAGAGCUAUGCCUCCUUGUUUCCUACCUUUCCCGCUCUCCCACGGUCAGGCGAUGCAGUUAUGAGGUAAUUGAGUAGGACUCAGAGAGCUAUGCCUCCUUGUUUCCUACCUUUCCCGCUCUCGCACGGUCAGGCGAUGCAGUUAUGAGGUAAUUGAGUAGGACUCAGAGAGCUAUGCCUCCUUGUUUCUAGUUUUGCUGACCUCUGGGACUUUCUUUUUAGGUCAGUUCCUUUAGGGUCACAGGGCAGAGGUCAUCUCCAUCAGAAAGGGGCUUAGGAACAGAGCACACUUACUUUAUCCUUUUACCAUGUUUGUCUAACCGGAAGUUCCUGGAGUCAAGUGAUCCCUCAGCCUCUGGUCUCCUGAGUAACUGAGACUGAAGUUGUGUGUCACAGUCUCUUAAGUAGCGCAUUCAUUCCCUUCCCCUCGCUGCCCUCCCCUCCCUUUCUGUCCCCUCCCCUUCCCUCUUCUUUCUUUGUUGAUUUUUGAGAUAGACUGUCUUUAUAGUCUAGGAUGGCCUUGAACUUUGCCAGCCCAUCCUAGGCAUUCCCGUUCAUGUUCCACAGAUGUACCCUCACUCUCACCAUUCUGUGCUAUGGUUGCUGAUUUUAAGCCACAAAACCUUUGUCCCUUGUUUUUUCUCAUUAACCAUUUUUUUUUAAAUGGCAUUAUUUUUCCAACGAACUCCUUUUAAGUUGGAGGGGUCAGAAUUCUCCCUUUAUAGCUGUAUUGAUAUUUCUGCUUUUUCUCAAAAUAGCUUGUGUUACAUCAGCCCUUCUGCCUGAAUUCCACACCUUGAGAGAGGAAUGUGCGCAUUCAGUGCUGUGCCUGUCCCCACCCAGGUUACGCCCUACCCUGUCUUUGUCCCAGCUCCACUUUCUUGGUAACUUUUCCUGCUCACUUGCUGUCUGUUUAAAUGUCAGAACACUUUCCCUGUGACUCAGUACAUAUUUAUAUUCCAGUCUCUUUUUCUGUUUGAGACGUCUUCAUGCUCUUCAUGGCUUUUGAUUUGACUUGCUAGAAAAUAGUUAUCCUUUGCCCACAUCAUGAGUUUUCAGGAUUAUAAAACUCUUUGACCUUUAAACUAUGACUAACAAUCUGCUGCAAUCAUUGCUGGUAGGUGAGAAGAUGCAGACUAAACUGUGAGUGAGCUACAAGAUCAGAGUGCUGACUCUCUGGCCUGAAUCUUCACCAUUCUCAUCGAGAGAGUAGCUCUCGUUGCCAAGGCCGUGGAUCUUAAUUUACUUGGUAUUGUGUUGUAUUCUAGCAUGUUCUAGGACAAGAAUAUCCUCCUUCCUUCCUCUCUCUCUCUCUCUUUCUCUCUCUCUCUCUUUCUUUCCUUUCUUGAAGGUUUCUCUGUAUAACCAGGUUGGCCUCGAACUCAGAGAUCCAACCAGCCUGUGGUCCCCACAAGUGCUGGGAUUAAAGGUGUGCAGCACCACUGCCCAGCUAAAUAUAGUGUUUUAUGGAGUCAUCAAAUAUACAUGCUUAACUGUAUAAAAAAAGCAGUUAUAAUUUCUUAACCCAAUACAGAAUAAGUAAUACCCUUUAAUUUGUUGAGUUUUUCUCCUGCUUCCCCCAUAUCUCUGUAUCUAUCAUCUAUUUUUAUCUAUCUAUCUAUCUAUCUAUCUAUCUAUCUAUCUAUCUAUCUAUCUAUCCAUCUCUCUAUCAUCUAUGUAUCUAUCAUCUAUCUGUCUUAUCUAUUUUUAAUCUAUCAUCUAUGUAUCUAUCACCUAUGUAUCUAUAUAUCUAUGUAUUUAUGUAUCUAUGUAUGUAUGUAUCUAUCAUCUAUCUUAUCUAUUUAUAAUCUAUCAUCUAAAUAUCUAUCAUCUAUGUAUCUAUCAUCUAUCACCUAUCUAUGUAUCUAUGCAUCUGUGUAUCUAUCUAUCCAUCUAUAUCUAUAUAUCAUCUAUCAAACAUCUAUUUAUCUAAUAUCUAUCUAUCUAUCUAUCUAUCUACCUAUCUAUUGCUUUAUCUAUCUAACAUCUAUCUAUCUAUCUAUCAAUUAACCAUCUGUGUCUGUAUCAUCUCUAUAUAUCUAUAGACAAGAAGGUUUCAGUUUUCUGCUGUAUCCCUCUGUCGAUAUCAAUUAGUGAGUGCUUCUGUAGAAGGUGAUUUGAAGACUUGGAACUACAAAUCAGUCUGAUAAUUGGGUUCUAUCUUUUCUAUUUUGAGCCACAGUGUUCUGAGUAUUUUGACACAGGAGCUUUUAUACUUGAAAUAAUAUAAAAGCAAGAGAAUAUUCUCUUUCAUCUGCAUUUCUGAGACUUAAGCUACAUUUUUUCCCUUUUCUUUCCUUCAGUGUCUACUGUGUGCAGGUAACACAGGAGUGAUGCAGAAGAGGCUGCCCCUCCGUAGUCCUUAAGAGAAACAUCUGCUCCCUUGGUGAAUGGGCAUGCUGGUAGCAGCUUGGGAGAUAAAUCAAUCUGGCCCAGUGGUUUAACUUUUCCUAAGUGAGCUUCCACCUAAGAGAAGGAACUGUACAGAUGCAGGGAGGAGAAAGCUGUGUGGCUGGGCCCUGCCACCGGCCCUGUCAACAUCCUCAGAGGCCAGACGGAAAGAGGGGCUCAUCAGGCUCAGAGACAUCAGAUGGAAUACCCCAUAGAGCUUGCUUGCUCUGUCACUGUCUCUGUCUCUGUCCCUCUGUCUGUCUUUUUCUUUCUCUCUCUGUAUGCAUGCGUAAAGUAAAACUACAUACAUAAAACCAAAAUGUACAUGUGCAUAUGAAGCAAGAUAAAAUGCAUAUCAUUUUACAUCUGCUUAUUGUAUGUUGAUGAAGGUUGAUGAAGUCUUUUCACAAAACGGCCUCGGAGCCGUGUCUUCCCCACGCCCCUUGACCAGCUCGAAGCUUUCGAUGCUUCCUUGCACCGUAGCGCAAUGUCAGCCUCCGUCUCCAGGUUGUCUCAGAAUUCUCUGGCAAACUUCUGCCAGCUUCAGAGUAUAACUGAGACCUUCCCUUCCUGCUGAAGCCUCCUCCCCUUGUAUUAUAGCAUUUGGGGCACCCAGUUAUUCUUGAUGUCAGCCAUGCCUCCGUCUGCUGGAACUGGGGUGGUUUUUACAUCGCUAACAUCUGGCGUGAAUCUCUUCUUCUGGGAGGUUGUAAUAAAUGCUUGGAUGACUGAAGGAAUAAGUGAAUGAAAAAAAAAUCCCGCCUCGUGUUCAACGCCUGCUUGGGUCCUUCCAUCCCACCUCAUGUUUGAAGCGUGCUGGGUCCUUCCGGCCCAUCUUUUCUUUUGUGCUAUUUAAUCUUUUUUCUUGUCACACAUUUUCCUGUCCCCCUCCAGUAGAUGUUAGAGUUCAGGAAAUCUGCGUUUGAAGAUUUAAAAUAUAGUGCUUUGAACUCCUUAGAGGAAAAGCUAUGAAUAAAUAAUUAGACUCAUUUCACAUCAAAAUCUAAAGUGUGGAAAAAAAAGUUCGUAUCAUUUGGUGCUUUAUUCACGUGUAUGGUAAUCUGAUGGCACAUCCAUUGUUAACACAGAGCUACACUGAAAUAUUUUACUCUCGGGGCUUUUCAUGUGACAGAAGACGGCUUUUUUGAAAAUGAAAAAGCUCCUGUCCCUGGCAUGCCAAGUUGAAAUUUGUUAGUUUUGAAAAGCGUGGAUAAAUAUAACUGUGUUUUCCUCGGACAGUACUUGAGAAGUUCCCGCCUGCAUCAGUGUUGCACAUGAGCGCAUACGACAGUCCUGCCGACUUUGGGGGGGUGUAAAUCAGGGGUGUUGCCGAGGAGCUGCUUAGCGUUUUCCUGAGGGUGAAGUGCUUAGGUUUGGAAUUUAAUUGCAGGUUUUACGUUUAAGCUGUUCAGUAUUAUUCUCAUAAAGGUUCUAUACAUUUCGUGCUCUGUAGUUUCACAGGCUUAGUCACCACAGUUGAAAGACAUCAUCUUCAUAAUGAAGCCAGAAAUGAAAAAAGGUUGAUCACGCACGGUGGCUGGCUGGGACGCUGAACAAUAGCGUAUGACUUCUUCAUGUCUAUUAAGUUAGACUGUGGGGUGUGUUUAUCUUCCUGCAAUGAUACCGAACUGUAACAAGAAAAUGUAACGCUGUGCAGCUCUGCCAGGGGGUGUGCGUCUGUUCUCACUUGGUGUGGAUGGUAGGGGCUCUGUACGCUGCCUACUGGGCUCAGUCUAAAGUCAUAGAACUGGGCGUGAUAUUGAAACAAGAUACGUAAAUAAAAAGUGCAAAGGCUUUCAAGUACCCUCUAAAACUUGUGUUGUUAUCUGUCUUCACGGGGCCUGUGUUAGCUCAGGAAGUGUGAUGCGCGAGAAAAUGCCACUUAUAGCUUCUUGGAAGUAAAUAAGUGAUAUGGUCUGGUGGCAGAGCUAAAGGAUAGUAUGAUGCAUAGGUGAUAGAUUUACUCAGCACUUCUGUACACUUCAUAUGGUUCCGUUCAGUUCUUUGACUGUUAGUGAAAUGCUGACUGUGUUCCCAGUGCUCCAUCAGAUACUGGCAGAGAUUUCUAAAGGAGUAUGAGAUCAAGUCCAGCCCUGAAGAACUUGGCAUUCUGGUAGAGACAGAAAUGAUUCCUUUGAACUGUUAGAUGUGUGAGUGACAGUACUGUAAGCUGUCAAGAUCGUUUAAACAUUGAUUCUGUUAUUAUAUGUAUCAUUCCCGACAUGUCACAUGAGCACAUGAUAGGCAUACCCUUUAUGUCCUUAAGUCACUGCUAGAAACUGACAAUUCAAGACCAAGAGUAAAGGCAAGAAGGAGCCUUCUGAUGCUUCCCACGCUGCUCUCAACGGGCACCCUUUGUCUGUUCGUGAACAGUGCUUCAUUUUCUAGAUAUGUAUCAACCAGCUUGUGAUCUGUCACCCCGAGUUAUCACGAUGUUAUCAUUCAUGUUUCUUAUAUACUUGCUUCCUUUUUCUAAAAUAUCAAGAAAGUAUUUCCAUAUGCCUGUUUCUUUUUUCUCUACUUGUCAGGAUUUUUCAGUGUGAUUACUGACAGGAGACCAUAGAUACAUGUCAAAUUUAGCUGGCAUGGAGGAAUACAAAUUGCCCUAUUCAAACCCCCUUAGAGCAACUACUAGAUCAUAGGUUGUUUCCUUAUUUACUGUGGGCUACAUGCUCUCUGUAUUGUUUAACUUUCUCUUCUUGACUGAAGACCUCUUUUCUUUCUGGGGAAAAUUGAAUUGAAAUAGAAAUGGUGUACUCACAUAGCUAACAGCCACUUCCUAAUGUUUUUUCCUAAAUAGAAGAACCAGAACUCAAGGUUUAUUUACAGCAAGAAAACAUUCUCCAGACUCUUGUAGCUCUAGAUGCCCUUGUUGACACAUUUUGAUCAAUUAGUUACUAGGGAAAGUCUCUAGAUACAGUCUAUCAGUUAUCUGAUGAUGUGUGAUAAAAUAUCACAAACCUAAUGUCUUAAAACAAUAAGCAUGUAUCAUUCCACACAAUUUUGAAUUACUAACUCAUACAUACUGUGUUGUGCAGUUUUGGGGCUUUGGCUUUCUAAUGGGCUCACAGUCAAGAUAUUAGGAGACCUUGUAGUUAUCUUAAAGACUCACGAGGAGAAUCUUUAAACAUGACCUGCUAUUGUCUCCCUUAAAUAAGUUUCAUAAUACUAAUGGUAAUGGUUUCCCCAGGCAGGCGCAGGUGUUGUAUGCAAAGCACUAUUACAUGGCUUUGGCUACUGUGAACUUCAAGAUGCAGAAUAGAAUUAGUUUAUGUUGAUAGCAUCAUUCAUUGGUUUCUCCAAUUAAAAAAAAAUGUUGGCCUGGGCAAUGGUGGCACACGCCUUUAAUCCCAGCACCUGGGAGGCAGAGGCAGGUGGAUUUCUGAGUUCAAGGCCAGCCUGGUCUACAGAGUGAGUUUCAGGACAGCCAGGGCUUCACAGAGAAACCCUGUCUCAAAACAAACAAAAAGUGUUGGAAUAAUUUGAAUUCUCCAUCACUCUUACAACAUGCUUUCUUUUAUAAAACUAUAAAACUUUUGUGAUUACCCCCUAUCUUAGUUAGGCUUUAAUUGCUGUGAAGAGGCACCAUGACCAAGGCAACUCUUUUAAAUAUGUUUUUUAAAUAUUUAUUUAUUUAUUUAUUAUAUGUAAGCACAUUGUAGCUGUCUUCAGACACUCCAAAAGAGAACAUCAGAUUUCGUUAUGGAUGGUUGUGAGCCACCACGUGUUUGCUGGGAUUUGAACUCAGGACCUAUGGAAGAGCAGUCGGCGCUCUUAACUGCUGAGCCAUCUAACCAGUCCCCCCCCCCCACCCUAAGGCAACUCUUAUAAAAGAAAACAUUAAUUGGGGAUGGCUUACAGUUUCAGAGGUUCAGUCCAUUGUCAUCAUGGUGGGAACAUGGCAGUGUGUGGCAGACAUGGUACAGGGAGAGCUGAGAGGUCUGCAUUUGGAACCAGAGGCAGCAGCAGGAGACUCUCAGCUGCAGGCAGCUCUUCUGCACUGGGCAGAGCUUGAGCACGAGGGGCCCUUGAAGCCCGCCUACACAGUGACUGACACACUUUCUCCAAGAAGGCCAACCUCCUAUUAGUGCCAUUUCCCAUGGGCCAAGCAUGUUCAAACCACUACACCCCUUACCCAUGACUAAGGGGAUAUUGCUGAAGAAGGGAUGGAGAGGGGACAAGAGAUGAAGGAAUGGCUUUUGUGGCACAGCAGUUGCAGCUCAUGAGCUCACAGUGGCUCUGGUUGCAUCCUGCAGCAGGACUGCCUAAGAAAGCUAGCCGGAAUUCCAGCAUGGAUAGGGAAGCAUACUCAGGGGAGGAGCUCAGAAAGCUGUACACCUAGCUGAGGGUGUGACAGUUGAAGGCGCCUGUGGUUGAAAGGGUUAGUUCUUCCCUAGUGUGGUCCCUGAUGGGUUGGUUAUCCAUGCCUCCAUGGAUGGCCUUAUGCCUAUUCACAUUUAGACAGCUCUGCACUCAAGGGCUCUGCAAAGAGGACAUGCAGUUUGGAUGGAAGUGUUGUUAAGGGAAUUUGGGAGAGCUAUACCAGGAGUAGGGGUUUGGUAUUAUCCACAUACAUUUGUGCAUAUAUGGAAUUACAAAGAAUGAGUAAAAACGUGUGUAUGUGUGUGAUGUGAUCUGCCUGAUAAAACACUCUAGUUUCUGACCAAUCAGUCAUUUUAUACUAACUUAAGUUUGAUUUAAAACAAAUAGACAAUGUAUAGUUUGGAAUAGGUGCUGGAGAGAUAGCUCAUCUCAAGAGGAUACCAACCAUAACAUGUAAUCAGCUUUAUAAUGUUAACUAUGUUUGACGAUGGCAUGUGUCACCAGCAACAGGGCACAGAGGCAUGUGAAACCCAACUGUCACAUAGCUUUUUCCUGAGUACAUUCUAUGCCAGCUGGUGGGGAAAGCCGAAAACAAAUAGCCUUGGAGUUCUUCAUUCCCGUGAGCUGUUUCCCUGAAGAAACAGUUUUGACCAUGUGGUUGGUUGAAUGAUAAGUUGGUCUCCAUUAUAACCACAAGUUAUAGGCACAUCUCUCUUUGCCUUAACUGCCAUACAUAGAACACGUUCUGCUAAUUCCUUUACUACUUUAGUGUUGGUGAAGACCUGUACUCAAUUACCCAUAUAUUCUGUACUUAGAAUAAAUGUUUAUGUGCAUAAAAUUAGUGUAAUCAUUUAGGACAAGUACUUUUUAUCUUUGUAAUUGUGUUUUUAUUAUAUAUAUGACACAUCAACAUGGUAUCUAUGUAUAUGCAUAUAUGUAUAUAUUUUAGAACAACUUAGAACUUAGACAACAAUGCCCUUCACUAGUGUGCAGAUGCAGAAACAGAGAUUCUUAGUGGCUGAGAGACUUGAGGGCAUUGAACUAAUAAACAGGAAGACUAGGAUUAAAGCCCACAUUUUGCUGCUCACCUUGGCAUGGACAGUCUACUAGAGCAACAACAGUUCUUAACCUAUGGGUCAUGCUCCCCUUGAGGGUCAAAUAGCCCUUUCACAAAGACUGCCUAAGACCAUCAGAAAAUACAGAUAUUCACAUUACAGUCUAUAACAGUAGCAAAAUAACAGUUAUGAAGUUGCAUUGAAAAUAAUUUUCUAGUUGAAGAGCCUCACAAUAUGAGGAAAUAUGUUAAAAAAAAGUUGCAGCAUUAUGAAGGCUGAAAACCACUGUAGCAGAGCAGUUGAUUCUUUGUAUUCCUGUCUCAUUUUGUGUAAUUCUUUUACAGGUAUUCCUAAACGUAGGAACUGUAUAUGCUACCCAUAGCCUUUCCCCAAAUAUGCAUCACAUUAGUACCAUGGAGCAGCUUCUUACUGGCCAGAGCAGUGUACAUGUUCCAGAUGGUCUCUGUAGUGUUGAGUUACUCCUACUUUUCAGAUUCAUUCAUUUGUCUUCAUCUAGAUGUGUGUUACUGUUCGAGGUAUGCAUUUUAAGUUUGAAUUGCACUGUCGCAAUAGAGGCUGUAUUGUUUCCAGAUUCGUUCUUUUCCACUCAGUGUUUCACCGCUAGGCUGUCUGUUUUGUUGCAUGCUUCUGUUGGUUGUAUCUGGGGACCACAUCUAAGCAUAAGCUAUGAACUGUUUUUCUCAGGCAUGGUUUUGUGUCAGGGAAUGGAUCAGCAACAUUAAUUCAUUCAAUGACAUUUCACCAGUAAGAAAGAAUGAGUUAUUGAUAUACACUAAAAUGUGGCAAUGCCUCAUAAAACAUAAUAUUAAAUAUAAGGAAUCAGUCACAAAGAACAACAUUUGAAAGUCCUAUCUGUAUGAACUGAUCGGAGCAACUAGAUCUAUAGCGACAGGAAGUAGUCAAGCACUUACUUCAGGAGGUGAACUAGAGAGGAGGAAGGGGACCCCCCUCCCGCCAAUAUGAAAAUGCUUGAAACGUAACUGAAACCACGGUGUCAGAGCUCUAAGUAUGUGAAGAACUGUUGGUUUGGGGCUCUCUUUAAAUGGGUGAAGCCUAAGGCAUGGUAAUUCUGUCUUAAUAAAGCUCUCUUCAAAGGCCAAACAAAACCGUCACCAGAUCCUUUUGCAGGAGGCUGGUGUGACUUAAAGGCUGUCCCCUCAGCUUAGGGGACAACUGGAAGGGGAGACUCAGAAUUCCAGUCCCAAGGUUUCUCCUCUGGUUCCUUGGAGAGAAGCCAUGCAGGUUAUUUUAGCUAACAGUCUCGGACAGCGUAUCUGUCCCAGUCCUCCAUCUACCAUCAGUAAUGGCUUUCCCAAAUCUCCAGUUUUGGCUAUGCCCUGGGCUUUUUAUAUCUUACCAAAUAGAAACUGUGGAUGUCUUUUUCAUGAUAAUAUCUUAAAGUUAUUUUUGUAUAUAGUCCCUUAUAGGUAGUAUUUUUGUCUGUCCAAAGGAGAAGACAAAUUUUAUAGCUUUAUUAAAAGCAGUAGGAAUGGUGCAUUUGUGCUAAUUAAUGAUUGCUUCAAAACAGCAGAGAUGUCUUCCUCUCUGAAGAAUGGUAAUAAAUGGCUGAUUUUUGAAUAAAAGGGAUUCUGAUCUUUUAUGUCUAACUAUCUUAGACUAUAGUUAAUAUACUAGAGAGUUAAAUUCUGAUAUAUAUAUUUUUUACCUUGGUCUAUAUAUGUACUUUGAUGGUCACAAUAAAAUUCACAUUUAGCCAAUUAAACCAUGGUGGUUUUAAAGUGAAGUAUAAAAUUCCAUGAUAACUGAAGGGGGUGUCCGAGUGACUGGAAAGCAUCAGCUGAAGAUGGAGCGGGUUUAGGAAGGAAGCCGUGAAGAGAAAGCCGUCACACACACUUCAUCAACACUGUGGAAUGAGGGGCCAGUGCAUUUACUGAGUGGUGAUGUCCAGUGAACACAGAAACUAAUUGGUGGUUGAACAUGCCUCAGGAGCCCUGAUCUUAAGGUCAUAGCAGGCUCAGUGAAUAGUGCUGACUUAGGCUGCAUCUCGCCGAUAGCUGAUCUUACCAGUGAGCUGUUUAGAGUCAUUCACGCCUGAGCCCUCUCCCUGCACCUUGAAUGGCACGUCAGUGGUCACUGCUUCUGACAUCCUUUAUGUUUGCCCAGCCAGCUCUGAAUCUUUAGGUUGGGCUUCUGAGUGCUCAGGGAAGAAAAGAGAGAGGCAAUUAUUUUCAGUCAUUGAGUUUUGAAGAUCUUAGUGUUAAUUAUGCCAAACAUUGUUGGUACAUCAGCAAAUACAAAUGUUAAAAAGGGGUGCCAGGCAUUCCAGACCUGCUUAAACAUACUUUAUGGUGGUUAAGAAAGUCUUGUAUACACUAACAUUUCUGAGGUACAUUGUUACCCACGUGUUUUCAUGCAUUUCAAAAUGGAAUAUUCACAUUAAAAGCUCAUUUGUAUUUUGGAGUAUUAAAAAGCUUACUUUUAAUUAAUGUGUGCCUUCUUAUCAGUUGAAUUAAGAAGAAUAAAAAGCGCAAUUCAUUAUUUCUGUGUGGAAUCUGGAGUGAUGUGAAAAACAUUUCAACAAAACAAAACUGCCAUGGGUAGCUGUGAGAAACGGUUCAAAAAUUAAUUUAAGUAUUACAGUGGUCUUUGAAAUGGGAAUAUUGCUCUCAGUCAGGUCUGAACUUACCAAAGAUCCUUUGAGUAUGUAAGAUGUGCUUUGCCUAUUGUCUGCAGCCCCCUGUGCGCUCUGACCUGCAGUUUUGCAGGAAGUACCCACUCAAAGGGUGUCAGGAAGCCCCGAGCUGCCUUUGAGUGUUCAUCUGAGAUUCGAGUUAAGGAUGCGAAGCUGGUAUUCUUGUUUAUGACACAGAUUUCAAAACUCAUUUCUCCUAUAAAUAAAAGGAAAAGCAGAAAGGAUUCAAAGUCCCUAAAUCUAUGAGAAUCGUCAGUGUGUUCACUGAUGUUUUUGUUUGUUUGUUUGUUUUUACCAAAGCAAAUAUAUUCAGUCCCUAAAGAGGGUAGAAUGGGUGGCAUUCUUUUGCUGAGGCACAAAUUUAAAACGGGAUGGUUGUUUUUCACGAUGUAUAUGAUUACCGUAGAGGCCAUGUCAAGUCAGAAUAGUUGUACUGUUAUACAUUAGUGAUUCAAAAAAUCCCGUCACAUGACUCUAAUACAAAACCAAGUGUUCCUUCCGUGUGGCUGAUAAAAUACAUUCUACUGUUACUGUCAUAAUCCUGCCUUUCAAAUUAAGAUAUAAUAAUUAUUCAGAAUCUAAUAUGGAGUUAAUUUAGAUUCAAUUGUCUCUAUUAAGACAAAGAGGUAUGAUAGUUUUUAGAGAUGGAAAUGAUCAUCUAUGAGAAUUUGGCUGAAGUCAAAAGCUUCACUGUCAGCAUCAUAGGUUCAUUAUGAAGGAGAGCAUUAUCGUCGUCUUUGUGCUGUUCUUCAGCUCAUUUGUUCUUAGGAAACGUGUUUAUCUCUUACCGAAACUCUCUGAUGUAGACGGACAGAUAUGUGAUCAAGCAAGCGUCGUAAAACAUUAGUGAGAGGACCACGGUAGCAAGUAUGUACGGGUCUUCUCCACAGCGUUCUUCCAGAGUGACUCCAUGUCUCAAUAAAAGAACCUCUUUGGCUUUUGCCAAAGCAAAAUAGAUUUUUUUUUUUAGAUUUAUUUAUUGUUAUAUGUAAGUACACUGUAGCUGUCUUCAGACACACCAAAAGAGGGCAUCAGAUCUCAUUAUAGAUGGUUGUGAGCCACCAUGUGGUUGCUGGGAUUUGAACUCAGGACCUUAGGAAGAGCAGUCAGUGCUCUCAACCGCUGAGCCAUUUCUCCAGCCCAAAAUAGAUGUUUUAAUUAUGUAAGUAUAGUAUGUAGAUCCAAUAGAGUUUGUGUAUUGAUAACAUUAUGUAUUUAACAAAUUAGUAAGAGACAAAACUAAUUUCAAAUUAUAAAUUUGGAUACUCUUUACCGUACAUUUUUUUUGGUUGAUGGUCGUUUCAAAAGGUGGUUUAGUCAUUUUUAAAACUCCAGUUGAGGCAAUUACUUGAAUCAGUUCUAAGAUAGACUAUUUUUCAGUUUUGUUGGAGGGGCUGUGAUGAAGUGUUUGGUAAGUGUUCAUAAUAAAAUAUAUGUGUAUAUAAAGAACAUGAGUUCAUGUGACAUGGAGCACAUUUUCUUCCUCGUCAGUAUGGGUGCACUUUGGAAUGUGAUCAACAUUGUAAAGAAUGUUUGUUUAUUAGGUUAAAGCACACUGCUGGUGAUCUUACAUAUCAGAGAAGAAAUUCUUUAUUCAUAAAUUAAGACAACUGCUGCCUUUAGGGUGCUCUUAUUACUGCCCCCCACCCCCACCCCAGCUUGCCACAUGUGCGCUAAUGUGUUGUGGGCUCAGAAAUGAUAUGGAUGAGUAAUGCAUGUGUGCUCACAUCUCAUUUUUGUGACACACUUUAAAUAGAUACAAACUCACCAUAACUAAUGUAUCUACCCAGAAAUGCCUCUUGGCAGAUGUGGCUGGGUUGCCACCUCGUUCCGCGGCUGAUGCGUAUCUCACAGGUUGGCAUCCUUAGAGUCCAUACAUUCAGAAGUCAUUUUACAUCCGAUGAUCUAAGGUCGGUAUGGUUGAAGUAGGAUUUAUUUUUAACCUGAGUGUUCCACCCUCUUACAUUACCCCAGACUAGUUGGUAUUAAAACAAUGACAGGGGUGGGGGUGGUGGGGGUGGUGGGGAUGGAGGAGGGCAUCAAGUUGGCCCUUGCAUUCAUUAGCUGUGUUUACAAAUCAUCUGUCAUCAGUCCAGCCACCGCCUCUUUUAUCACAAGCUUUUGUGUUUGAUAUCAUGCUGGGGCAGAGUGGCUUAAUGGCAGGCCCCGUGCACCUUUUCACCCGUGUUCAGAGCAUCCAUGCUAAAGCGUACAGUGACUUGGACGUUAGGCAGGUAAACGAUACCUAAUGACAUAUUACACUAAACUGUGAAAGACCAGGUGCUUCUAGAGUGAUGCUUUCUGUCAACAACCUAUUUUGUGUUCUUGAAUAUAGCAGUGCUUGCUCCUGUGUUGGCAAUAUUAUCUAAUUUGAUGUGCCCUAUGAUACUUGAUCAGCCAUUAACAAUAGCUAAGCCUAUAGGGAGCUAGCACACAUAUGCACCCAUAGACAUACACAUAUCGACAUACAUGCGUGCUUCUUUACUUACUUGCAUGCAUAUGUGCAGUGAGUUUUGUUUGUUUGUUUGUUUGUCCUUCAUCAUUAAAGCCUUCGGUAGAGAGUCAUAAAUGGAAAACAGCUGUUAGUUUUAAGGUAAGAUAAUACGGGCUUUGGUUUGUUUCAAGUUAACCACAUGAUUUAAAAUUAGUGCAGGGUCUUGUAACAAAUGCCAGUAAUCUAAACAGAAGCCGUACCUCGCCCGUGGCUUCUGCGUGCAGUACAGGUUCAUUGCUGGAAUGCUUUCACAGCCCAUCACAGGAUGUAAUGAACAGCUAUUUUUAAACAGAAGAAAUUCAAGUUGACAGCUUGGCAGUGAAAUUCAGCUAGUGAGAUAAUUUUUGUCAUCUUUAGUAUAGAGAAUGGAUUCAGUUUGGUUUAAGGAAAUUUCUAUCUUAUGGCCUGUAGGGAAAAUAUUUUUAUUAAAAGAAAAUUUUGUUGUCCAUUUUGAGGGGCAGGUGUUACUGAUAAAGUAUGGAAUCGGCUUCUAAUGCAUUACUGAAAUUUCUCUAAAACCCAGAAUUAGAUAGAAUUUCUUAUUUUUUUGCUUCUGCUAAAGGUGAGAUAAUCUAAUAAGACAACCGUGAGGGGAACUCAACUACUGGAGGUCUAUCCCAUGAUGCUCUUUAGUCUUUCAGAGUUUAAAAUAAGGAGGUUUUUAAAUAACUGGGCAGGAAUGUAAAGUGUGGAGCAGCCUGUCUCUGCGAGAGUACAGGGUGGGAUUGUAGCAGGGAGAAAGGAAAGAGCCUGCCUGGUUCCUGGAGAGACACUCUUCACAUCUGAUCUCGAUAGCUUCGGAAAAACACGUUCCACGUUCCUAACAAAACAUCAUAUAAGUCAGUUAGUGGUGGCGCAUGCCUGCCUUUAAUCUCAAUACUUGAGAGAUAGAGGCAGGCAUAUCACUGUGAGUUUGAGGUC